rnacentral:rRNA from 1 species
UACGUAGGGUGCGAGCGUUGUCCGGAAUUAUUGGGCGUAAAGAGCUUGUAGGCGGUUUGUCGCGUCGGCUGUGAAAAUCCGGGGCUCAACCCCGGACUUGCAGUGGGUACGGGCAGACUAGAGUGUGGUAGGGGAGACUGGAAUUCCUGGUGUAGCGGUGAAAUGCGCAGAUAUCAGGAAGAACACCCGUGGCUAAGGCGGCUCUCUAGUACGGUACUGACGCUGAGACGCGAAAGCGUGGGGAGCGAACAGG